GGUGACGUCACACCUCACUGGGUCACAUGAUCAAUGUGUGUAGCCAAGAGGACCCGGACUGGAGGAGUGAUGGGGUUACACAGUAGUGAAGAAGUCGUCUGAUGAGUGUGUAACACCUCGUGUGUCAGGAGGACGGAGCAGGACCCAGAGCCCCAUCACCGAGCCUCCACCUCAUUCACUGAUACAUGAGCAGAAGAUCCUAGAACUUACCAACAGGAUCACUGACCUGCUGACCGGAGAGGUUCCUAUAAGGUGUCAGGAUGUCGCUGUCUAUUUCUCCCUGGAGGAGUGGGAGUAUUUAAA